UCACAUGAUCAUCUCAAUAGAUGCAGAAAAAGCAUCUGACAAAGUCCAACACCCAUCCAUGAUAAAAACCCUACAUCGCAGUGUAAAUUACUAUAAUUAAAAAAUGGUGUUAAAUCCUUUGGGUUAUCCACCACCUUAAAAUUAUACCUAUUUCCUUUUUUAAAAAGGAUAUCAGUUAGAAUUGGAGAUUUUUAACAGUGGUCAUUAUCAAAACUGUUAUUUUCCACAGAAUAUAGAAUAUGUAUUUUUUUCAUGUGUGUUUUUAACUGCGCUACAGAUACUGAAUGCAUCUUGAGAUAAUUUAGUGUUUUUAACUGGUACAUAAUUUAUCAAGCAGUACAUGAAAGUGUAAUAAUAAAAUGUCUAUAUAUCUUUAGUUACAUUCAAAUUUGUAACUUUAUAAACAUGUUUUAUGCUUGAGGAAUUUUUAAGGUGGUAGUAUAAAUGGAAACUUUUUGAAGUAGACUGGAUAUGGGCCAAUAGCUCCUUGUGACUAGACUUUUAAACUUUGCUCUUUCAGGCAGGUGCCUGGUUUCUGGGAAAAUACUGCACAGCCAUUUUUGUCCCAGAAAUUACAUAACUUUAACUGAAAAAAAA